ACGCUCGACACCUACUGGAGGCAGCAGUGGGGAAUAUUGCACAAUGGGGGAAACCCUGAUGCAGCGACGCCGCGUGAGCGAAGAAGUAUCUCGGUAUGUAAAGCUCUAUCAGCAGGGAAGAAAAUGACGGUACCUGACUAAGAAGCCCCGGCUAACUACGUGCNGCACGCGNGUAUNGNGGCGGNNGNAG
rnacentral:rRNA from 1 species